rnacentral:rRNA from 1 species
GUGCCAGCAGCCGCGGUAAUACGAAGGUCCCGAGCGUUGUUCGGAAUCACUGGGCGUAAAGGGAGCGUAGGCGGCGUGGUAAGUCAGAUGUGAAAUCCCGGGGCUCAACCCCGGAACUGCAUCCGAUACUGCCGUGCUAGAGUUUUGGAGAGGUAGCUGGAAUUCACGGUGUAGCAGUGAAAUGCGUAGAUAUCGUGAGGAACACUCGUGGCGAAAGCGAGCUACUGGACAACAACUGACGCUGAGGCUCGAAGGCUAGGGUAGCGAAAGGGAUUAGAUACCCCUGUAGUCCUAGCAGUAAACGGUGUGCGCUUGGUGUGGCGGGAAUCGACCCCUGCCGUGCCGGAGCUAACGCGUUAAGCGCACCGCCUGGGAAGUACGGUCGCAAGACUAAA